rnacentral:tRNA from 1 species
GGAAGUGUGCCCGAAUACCCAAGGGUCACUAUGAUAAAGUGAACAUAGAGGUACACCAACCCUCUCACUUCCU